rnacentral:rRNA from 1 species
GACGAACGCUGGCGGCGUGCUUAACACAUGCAAGUCGAACGGUGAAGCGCCUUCCUUUUUGGUGGGUGUGGAUGAGUGGCGAACGGGUGAGUAACACGUGAGUAACCUGCCCCCUUCUUCUGGAUAACCGCAUGAAAGUGUGGCUAAUACGGGAUAUUCUGUGUCUGUCGCAUGAUGGGUCUGGGAAAGAUAUUGUUUCGGUGGGGGAUGGGCUCGCGGCCUAUCAGCUUGUUGGGGGGGUGAUGGCCUACCAAGGCGGUGACGGGUAGCCGGCCUGAGAGGGUGGACGGUCACACUGGGACUGAGACACGGCCCAGACUCCUACGGGAGGCAGCAGUGGGGAAUAUUGCACAAUGGGCGCAAGCCUGAUGCAGCGACGCCGCGUGAGGGAUGGAGGCCUUCGGGUUGUGAACCUCUUUCGCCAGUGAAGCAGGCCUGCCUCGUUUGUGGGUGGGUUGACGGUAGCUGGAUAAGAAGCGCCGGCUAACUACGUG